AGAGUUUGAUCCUGGCUCAGAACGAACGCUGGCGGCAGGCCUAAAACAUGCAAGUCGAACGCCCUAGCAAUAGGGAGUGGCGCACGGGUGAGUAACACGUGGGAAUAUGCCUUUUGGUACGGAACAACGUCGGGAAACUGACGCUAAUACCGUAUGGUCCCUUCGGGGUAAAGAUUUAUCGCCAAAAGAUUAGUCCGCGCUGGAUUAGCUAGUUGGUGAGGUAAUGGCUCACCAAGGCGACGAUCCAUAGCUGGUCUGAGAGGACGAUCAGCCACACUGGGACUGAGACACGGCCCAGACUCCUACGGGAGGCAGCAGUUAGGAAUAUUGGACAAUGGGCGCAAGCCUGAUCCAGCCAUGCCGCGUGAGCGAUGAAGGCCUUCGGGUUGUAAAGCUCUUUAGUCCACGAUUAUAA
rnacentral:rRNA from 1 species